rnacentral:misc_RNA from 1 species
UCAAACUUGGUCAUUUAGAGGAAGUACAAGUCGUAACAAGGUUUCCGUAGGUGAACCUGCGGAAGGAUCAUUAACGAAUCUUUUUUGGAAUGAUAUUCCAAAACAUUAGUGCUCUCCGAGUUCGGAGGUGCCACAUAUAUAUACGUGUUAUGUAUAUUUUGUCUAGUGAAUUUCUGUGCUUUUUUUGAUGACAAUACAUCAUUCAAACACACAUAAUCAAACAUAUACUUUUAACAAUGGAUCUCUUGGCUCUUGCAUCGAUGAAGAACGCAGC